AUUGAACGCUGGCGGCGUGCCUAACACAUGCAAGUCGAGCGGUAACAGGUGUAGCAAUACAUGCUGACGAGCGGCGAACGGGUGAGUAAUGCUUCGGAAUCUUCCCAUUAGUGGGGAAUAACCAGCCGAAAGGUUGGCUAAUACCGCAUACGUCCUACGGGAGAAAGCAGGGGAUCGCAAGACCUUGCGCUAUUGGAUGAGCCGAAGUCGGAUUAGCUAGUUGGUGAGGUAACGGCUCACCAAGGCGACGAUCCGUAGCUGGUCCGAGAGGACGACCAGCCACACUGGGACUGAGACACGGCCCAGACUCCUACGGGUGGCAG
rnacentral:rRNA from 1 species